GAGGAAUAUUGGUCAAUGGACGGAAGUCUGAACCAGCCAAGUAGCGUGCAGGAUGACGGCCCUAUGGGUUGUAAACUGCUUUUGUAUGGGGAUAAAGUCAAUCACGUGUGAUUGUUUGCAGGUACCAUACGAAUAAGGACCGGCUAAUUCCGUGCCAGCAGCCGCGGUAAUACGGAAGGUCCGGGCGUUAUCCGGAUUUAUUGGGUUUAAAGGGAGCGUAGGCCGGAGAUUAAGUGUGUUGUGAAAUGUAGACGCUCAACGUCUGACUUGCAGCGCAUACUGGUUUUCUUGAGUACGCACAACGUUGGCGGAAUUCGUCGUGUAGCGGUGAAAUGCUUAGAUAUGACGAAGAACUCCGAUUGCGAAGGCAGCUGACGGGAGCGCAACUGACGCUUAAGCUCGAAGGUGCGGGUAUCGAACAGGAUUAGAUACCCUGGUAGUCCGCACAGUAAACGAUGGAUGCCCGCUGUUGGUACCUGGUAUCAGCGGCUAAGCGAAAGCAUUAAGCAUCCCACCUGGGGAGUACGCCGGCAACGGUG
rnacentral:rRNA from 1 species